rnacentral:rRNA from 1 species
GAUGAACGCUGGCGGCGUGCCUAAUACAUGCAAGUCGAGCGAACGGACGAGAAGCUUGCUUUUCUGAUGUUAGCGGCGGACGGGUGAGUAACACGUGGAUAACCUACCUAUAAGACUGGGAUAACUUCGGGAAACCGGAGCUAAUACCGGAUAAUAUUUUGAACCGCAUGGUUCAAAAGUGAAAGACGGUCUUGCUGUCACUUAUAGAUGGAUCCGCGCUGCAUUAGCUAGUUGGUAAGGUAACGGCUUACCAAGGCAACGAUGCAUAGCCGACCUGAGAGGGUGAUCGGCCACACUGGAACUGAGACACGGUCCAGACUCCUACGGGAGGCAGCAGUAGGGAAUCUUCCGCAAUGGGCGAAAGCCUGACGGAGCAACGCCGCGUGAGUGAUGAAGGUCUUCGGAUCGUAAAACUCUGUUAUUAGGGAAGAACAUAUGUGUAAGUAACUGUGCACAUCUUGACGGUACCUAAUCAGAAAGCCCCGGCUAACUACGUG